rnacentral:lncRNA from 1 species
GGAGAGGGAAUUACACAUCACCUGAUUUUGGAUGCAUGUGUGAGGUAUGCUACUGUACUCACAAGACAUCUGAAACUAUACCCAGAUCAUCUAGAAGUGAACAUGUUCCAGGUGAUGUCCCUAUGUAAACCAAGGGUUGGUUUUCAGUGGUAAAAAGUCAAUUAACCACUGGUGGGCAAUAUCCAAAAUUGAUAGCAGAAACAGAAAAAUAAAAGACUACUCAGCAAAGACAAGUAGAGUUUCUGGAGGCUGGGAUGUCCAAGGUCAAGAUGCUGACAGAUUGAUUGUCCCUGGAAAGCCUGCUUCAUAGAUGACCAUCUUCUCCGUGUGUUCUCCCUGUGUUCUCAGGAGUGGGGUUACCUUUCUGGUGCCUCUUUUUCAUAAGGACACUAUUCCCGUUCCUGAGGGCUCCAUUCUCAUAACACAACAUCCAGAAGGUCCUACAUUCUAAUAUCAUCAUACUGCAGAUUGGCAUGGUGUGGAUGGAAGUGAAGAAAAAUGUUCCAGGUUGCUUGUGCAAGACUUUCAAAGUGAAAAGUGAGCCAAAUUGAGGGAACCCUAAUAUAAUUUCUAACAA